GAUGAACGCUGGCGGUAUGCUUAACACAUGCAAGUCGAACGGACUCUUCGGAGUUAGUGGCGGACGGGUGAGUAACGCGUGAGAAUCUGGCUUUGGGUUCGGGACAACCACUGGAAACGGUGGCUAAUACCGGAUGUGCCGAGAGGUAAAAGAGAAAUUGCCUGAAGAUGAGCUCGCGUCUGAUUAGCUAGUUGGUGAGGUAAAGGCUCACCAAGGCAGCGAUCAGUAGCUGGUCUGGGAGGAUGACCAGCCACACUGGGACUGAGACACGGCCCAGACUCCUACGGGAGGCAGGAGUGGGGAAUUGUCCGCAAUGGGCGAGAGGCUGACGGAGCAGUACCGCGUGAGGGAAGAAGGCUCUUGGGUUGUAAACCUCUUUUCUUAGGGAAGAACAAAAUGACGGUACCUAAGGAAUCAGCAUCGGCUAACUCCGUG
rnacentral:rRNA from 1 species